rnacentral:rRNA from 1 species
AUUGAUACUGCCUUGCUGGAAUGCGGAUGCCGUGGGAGGAAUGUGUGGUGUAGCGGUGAAAUGCAUAGAUAUCACACAGAACACCGAUUGCGAAGGCAUCUCACGAAUCCGCGAUUGACGCUGAUGCACGAAAGCGUGGGUAUCAAACAGGAUUAGAUACCCUGGUAGUCCACGCUGUAAACGAUGAUGACUAACCGUCGGCGAUACACAGUCGGUGGCCAAGCGAAAGCGAUAAGUCAUCCACCUGGGGAGUACGGCCGCAAGGCUGAAACUCAAAGGAAUUGACGGGGGCCCGCACAAGCGGAGGAACAUGUGGUUUAAUUCGAUGAUACGCGAGGAACCUUACCCGGGCUCGAACGGCAGCUGAAUAUUCCAGAGAUGGGAUAGUCUUCGGACAGUUGUCGAGGUGCUGCAUGGUUGUCGUCAGCUCGUGCUGUGAAGUGUCGGCUUAAGUGCCAUAACGAGCGCAACCCUUGCCUUCAGUUGCCAUCAGGUUAAGCUGGGGACUCUGGAGGGACUGCCACCGCAAGGUGCGAGGAAGGGGGGGAUGACGUCAAAUCAGCACGGCCCUUACGUCCGGGGCGACACACGUGUUACAAUGGCAGGUACAGAGGGGUGCUACCGGGUGACCGGAUGCCGAUCUCGAAAACCUGUCCCAGUUCGGACUGGAGUCUGCAACCCGACUCCACGAAGUUGGAUUCGCUAGUAAUCGCGCAUCAGCCAUGGCGCGGUGAAUACGUUCCCGGGCCUUGCACACACCGCCCGUCAAG